CCUACGGGGGGCAGCAGUGGGGAAUAUUGGACAAUGGGGGGAACCCUGAUCCAGCCAUGCCGCGUGUGUGAAGAAGGCCCUCGGGUUGUAAAGCACUUUCAGUGAGGAAGAACGCCUGGUGGUUAAUACCCAUCAGGAAAGACAUCACUCACAGAAGAAGCACCGGCUAACUCCGUGCCAGCAGCCGCGGUAAUACGGAGGGUGCGAGCGUUAAUCGGAAUUACUGGGCGUAAAGCGCGCGUAGGUGGCUUGAUAAGCCGGUUGUGAAAGCCCCGGGCUCAACCUGGGAACGGCAUCCGGAACUGUCAAGCUAGAGUGCAGGAGAGGAAUGUAGAAUUCCCGGUGUAGAGGUGAAAUGCGUAGAGAUCGGGAGGAAUACCAGUGGCGAAGGCGGCCUUCUGGACUGACACUGACACUGAGGUGCGAAAGCGUGGGUAGCAAACAGGAUUAGAUACCCUAGUAGUC
rnacentral:rRNA from 1 species